rnacentral:rRNA from 1 species
UCCUACGGGUGGCAGCAGUGGGGAAUAUUGGACAAUGGGCGCAAGCCUGAUCCAGCCAUGCCGCGUGAGUGAUGAAGGCCCUAGGGUUGUAAAGCUCUUUCACCGGUGAAGAUAAUGACGGUAACCGGAGAAGAAGCCCCGGCUAACUUCGUGCCAGCAGCCGCGGUAAUACGAAGGGGGCUAGCGUUGUUCGGAUUUACUGGGCGUAAAGCGCACGUAGGCGGACUUUUAAGUCAGGGGUGAAAUCCCGGGGCUCAACCCCGGAACUGCCUUUGAUACUGGAAGUCUUGAGUAUGGAAGAGGUGAGUGGAAUUCCGAGUGUAGAGGUGAAAUUCGUAGAUAUUCGGAGGAACACCAGUGGCGAAGGCGGCUCACUGGUCCAUUACUGACGCUGAGGUGCGAAAGCGUGGGGAGCAAACAGGAUUAGAUACCCUAGUAGUCC